GCCACAGAAGCCAUUGAAGUUUACCAGCCAUGGCUGUGUGCUACCCUAUGGCCAUGGGCCUCAACAAGGGCCACAAAGUGACCAAGAACGUGAGCAAGCCGAGGCAUAGUCGCCGCCGCGGGCGCCUCACCAAGCACACCAAGUUCGUGCGGGACAUGAUACGGGAGGUGUGCGGUUUUGCGCCUUAUGAGCGGCGCGCCAUGGAGCUGCUCAAGGUCUCCAAGGACAAGCUGGCCCUCAAGUUCAUCAAGAAGCGGGUGGGGACACACAUUCGUGCCAAGAGGAAACGAGAAGAACUGAGCAAUGUCCUGGCCGCCAUGAGGAAGGCUGCUGCCAAGAAGGACUGAGCCAGCCCUGCCC